GCCACCUUGUUCCGAUAGCUCCUGAAAUAGCCAACUUCAACUGUAAUUCAAAAUCUUAUAAUCAAUUUAUAUCAAAUCUCCAAUAGAGAAAUUAGCUUUUCCUCUCAUUUUUCAAAUCAAGGGAAAUCUUCAUGAUUCAUGGAAAAACUUGCAUGGCAGUUCUUUGGAAAACAAAUUAACCCUUCUACACUGUUACAAUCUGCAUUCUUUGACGUAUGGACACAAAUGCUGUGUUUUGACAUGCUUCCCCCAUGCUGGAGAGACAAGCAGAUACUGGAAUAAUGAUGAGACGCAUGGCUAAAAAUAUUUUUUGACACUUCAGUUUAUAUGCUUGAGGAAAGAACACAAGAAUGUAAAACAUGCUUUUAAUCGAAUGAACAUGCCAAGAAGUUGAAUGCAAAAGGAGGAAGAAAUCAACCAUAUUU
rnacentral:misc_RNA from 1 species